GCCAGCAGCCGCGGUAACACCGGCGGCCCGGGUGGUGAUCGUGAUUAUUGGGUCUAAAGGGUCCGUAGCCGGUUUGGUCAGUCCUCCGGGAAAUCUGAUAGCUCAACUAUUAGGCUUUCGGGGGAUACUGCCAGACUUGGAACCGGGAGAGGUAAGAGGUACUACAGGGGUAGGAGUGAAAUCUUGUAAUCCCUGUGGGACCACCUGUGGCGAAGGCGUCUUACCAGAACGGGUUCGACGGUGAGGGACGAAAGCUGGGGGCACGAACCGGAUUAGAUACCCGGGUAGUCCCAGCCGUAAACGAUGCUCGCUAGGUGUCAGGCAUGGCGCGACCGUGUCUGGUGCCGCAGGGAAGCCGUGAAGCGAGCCACCUGGGAAGUACGGCCGCAAGGCUGAAACUUAAAGGAAUUGGCGGGGGAGCACAACAACGGGUGGAGCCCUGCGGUUUAAUUGGACUCAACGCCGGACAACUCACCGGGGGCGACAGCAAUAUGUAGGCCAAGCUGAAGACUUUGCCUGAAUCGCUGAGAAGAGGUGCAUGG
rnacentral:rRNA from 1 species